rnacentral:lncRNA from 1 species
CGGGCGGCAUGACGGCGUCCCUGCUCGUCCUGGGCUCCCUGUUCGCGGCGUUCACCGGCGCCAAGGACGACGCCGCGGUGGCCGCGGUGAGCUUCGCGGCCGUGGUUGCGUUCGUCGUGUCCUUCUCCGUCGGGUUCGGGCCGCUCGCCUGGGUGUACAGCUCCGAGAUCCUGCCGCUCCGGCUGCGCGGCCAGGGCGCCGGACUCGGCACCGCCAUGAACCGGAUCACGAGCGGCGUCGUCACCAUGACCUUCAUCUCGCUCUACCAGGCAAUCACCAUGGCCGGCGCGUUCUACCUCUACGCCGCCAUCGCCGCCGCCUCGUUCGUGUUCGUCUACGCGUGCCUGCCGGAGACCAGGGGACGGAGCCUCGAGGACAUGGAGGAGCUCUUCC